UGGAUUUAUUCCGAUGUAAAUCAACCUUAAAUGGUCUACAACAUAUAAUAGGAAUGUAAUAUUGGAGAUUAAUGUAGAUAUUGUGAUUUAUUUCCUAAAGAUAUCAAUCUUAUAUUAGGUGUCUUGCAAUAUAAGUAAGAUUGAUGGAGUCCUUGAUUUUAUGUGAUUAUGAUACCUAACUGAUAGGCUAAAAAGUGGGAUUUGGGAUUCCUUUAUGGAUGGAACCUUAAUGCCUUAGCCAGUAUAAAUACUAAGGUCCCUGCAAACCCUAGAGACACAACAAACACUUCCCAUAAAGUAGUUGUAUCCGGCUAGGUGCUUUGUAGAAGACUUGGUGUUGCCGCAUCCUUCAUCUUCUCCGUUUGAUCUCCAAUGGCUAUCGCUUCAUGAUCAGGUCAGCUAAAAUUCCUUCGUUUGUGUUUUAAUUAUAUAACCACAUAAAGUUUACAUGUGGUAUCAGAGCCACUGGUUAUAUGAUUAAAACCUAUUAGGUUUGAAGUUUGAUUAUAUAAUAUCUUUUCUUUUGGACUGCGGUUUUUUAAAUCCAAAUUGUGAUUGCAUUCGGCAACAUCACCAUGUUGGACCUGCUUGAAAACUGCAUAGUACGGUUCCGCAUAUAAUUGUAUAUACUUGGCAUAUUAGUUUGAUAUGCACGGCACAUGUUUUACAUAAAUUCCUAUUUGGUCUUAGAGACCGAAAUUAUCAGUUAAAUUAAACAAUUACAUAAUUGGAUAAUCUGUUUCUGCGAGUGGUGCCAGUUGAGUUCAAGUUUUCUUCCACCGCCACCACCCUUCAAUUCCAAAUGUGGGCUUUUUCUAAUUGAAGCACUAAAUGAUGAUAUUGAAUUAACUAUAAUAAAGGAAGAUUAAAAAUAGUUGGUUCAUUAUUUCAUGGAAUUGUAUAAUUGGAAUUACCAUGGUGCUUAACGUUUUCUAUUUCAAUGUUCAUAUUAAUGUUUUGGUUCAAUUUGAAAUAGUCAUUUUGUUCUAACCAUGCACCGGAGAAUUUGAGAUGAUCAGCAAAGCCAAAUAAGGAGGUUCAUAUAUGCAUCGCAUAUGAGAUCCUGAUGGAGGUCGGUUCUAACCUUGCACUGGAGAAUUUUGAGAUAUAUCACUCAUAAAUUGGUAAACUAAUAAUUGUUGAAUGGUAGGUUUUCAAGCACUUCAAGCUUCCUUUCUUGUAUUCAGUUCUCAUAAAGAAAGAUUGGAACAGUUUGCUUUGCUCAUCUUUACUGAAUUAAUUAUGACUGGAAGAAUAUGGCAUGCUUUAAGCUUUCUUUCGAUAUUCAUGCCAAUGUUUUGGUUGAAUUGAUUUAGUGGUAGAUACAACUUUUUGGCUAACGUUGUUGUCAAUUUUGUAAGCAUAUAGAAAUAUGUACUUCUGUACUAAUCUUGCCAAGGAAGACUAUGAAGCAUCUCAAGUCAACAAGCUCGGUAAAGUCUCCUAUCAAAGCAAACAAUAUUGAUCAUUAUAUGUGUCAAUUGCGAAUUAAUUAGUUGAUCAUGCAUAUGGUUAGUUUUGACUAUUAAGUUUUAAACUUGGUUAUCAAAACAAAGAGAAAAUAUAUGUUUUGAACAUGAUUAAUUCUGCAUAUAAGUGGCAUACAGAACGAGGGAAAAGUAGAUUUUUAAGAUAUGCCAAGAUGCAUGCAUAUAAAAGUGCAUAUAUAUCUUGCUUGUUCGUGGUUUUUUGUUAGUAAUAUGCAUGAGUGAGCCUAUUGGCUGGUCCAAGCAGCUCCAGUCACUGCUUCCAGGGUGGAAAGGCAACAAGGGACACUAAGCACCCCUCAAAAUAUAAUUACAUACCUUAUAAGGUUUUUUGGAAUUACUUCUUAAACUCCAAAUCUUUAUUGCAUUUGUUAUCCAUUUGAAUAAGGACUAAUAUUGUUUGCCAUGAAUUGCAAUUGCAUAAGUGCCAUCAAUUGUUUGAUCAAGCUAAGUAUACGUAAUUUUCUAAAGCCAAUUAUGUAUCUAGAAGUUCACAUUGCAUGUGUAAAAUUAUCAUGACACCAGUAUCUAAAUGGUAUGUAUAUGGUAAACAUGCGGAGAAGCAUAUGUAAAAAUGCAUAAAUUAUUUUUAUUGUUUGAGACUAUAUUUUGUACAAAUAGUCUGGGUGUUUCGGCAUUAGUACAAGAGUAAGUCUAUUGCUCUGUUUUUCAUGGGUAAUAACUAAAAUGGACAUAUGGCAUGUUUUAUUAAAGGGAUUGGGUUGUCCUAACACAAAUGUGUUGAUUAGUAAUGCAGUAUACUAAGCAUGAUGGGGGAUUAAUUCAAGUACGGUUUAUAAUGAUAUUAACUCCAUGCGGAAUUUGCAUGACUAAUCAAAUUAGUUUUGUCUACAAUUUUGCUUUCCUAUCUCAGUAUAGUCAUUUAAUUGUACAUGACUAAUGCAUAACUUAUGGAUUGACUGAGAAUGACAGAAAGCAUCCAAUGACAAGAAUAAGGGUAUAAUACAAGUGAAUAAGGUUUGUAGUAAUUAUGUGACAAUUCUCAUUUGUAUUUUAACUAUUUAUUUGAGAAUUGUGGUUGGUCAUGUGAUUAUAAAUAUGUUUAUAAAGAAGUGGUGAACAUAUGAAGGCAUAAGGUAUGUAUUUCAUUCAGAGCAUGUGACUAAAUUGAUAAGCAUAAGUCUUCAAACUUGUAUAUAGUUUAUUAGUUUUUCCCAUGCCUAAAGAAUUUAAACAAUGUUUUGAUAAGUCAAUUUUAUGUGCCAUAAGGGGAGAAGAAAAGAAAUUAUUCAAGGCUAAUGUAUGGCAUGUAUUGGAGUUUUUUUUUUCUUUUGGAAGAAAAGAUUUUUUGGUUGUUCCUUUACUUAAUUUGGUAUUUACAAGGCUAAUGCACGAUUUUGAUGCUAAUGUUUUAGGAGUCUUGUACUACAAAAAUAAAGGUACAAAAGGAAAGGAACCCGUUUGACUUAAGAGAGCAUUUAAGUGAUAUCACAAUUUGGCUUUUGAAUUAAAAGCGACUAUAUUGUUUAAAGUGUUUCCAUUUUGAAUCUAUUAGCUCCAUCAUGUUUUCUCAUACGUGUUGAUAUCCUUGUGGUGGAAGAUUGAUAUUAUAGCUCUUAUACAACUUGAUCUAUAUGUGAUUAAUCUCCUUUCAAGUAUGUUGUCAGGUUUUUUGAGAUUAAUUGGAUAUCGAAGGGAGUCAUGAAGGCUGGAGAUGAUCAAUGUCUUGUCAACUAAGCAAGCCGUAGCGGCUUAGUUGAUGUUGGGACUAUGGUUUUAAGUUAUUUUGAUCAACAUUGCAUCUUAAUUAGUAAAAGGGAUAAUCUUCUUGCCCGUAGGUGUGGAUCGUUUCCUUUGUUUUAAUUAAGAUGGCAUAGUAUGAGUUUUAUUUCACAGGAGUUUGUGAAAACUUCAUCUUGCCCGUAGGUGUUGAAGUUUUUUUUAUGAAGGUAACUCUUGUGACAUAUAAUUCAGUACUAGAAACUAAUUAAUUUGCUUGCCCGUAGGUGUAAAUUAAUCUAGUUUCAUGAAGUUUAUUGGGGAUAAAGUUCCAUGCCAUCAGUUACAAAAUCCCACUAUGAGCCCCAUAAUAGGUUGUGGUUUUAAGGCAUGGAAAUCGGUUGCAUCAUUACGUAUUUUGUGUCUCUUCAUGAGACUUGUUGAUGCAAAGUAUUGGACCCAUGAAGGUUAAUCAAGGAUUGCUAAGGUACACAUUAUUUAAGUCUUAUGCUUAUAAAUCUUUUCAAUUUGAAGUAUGAUGUCGUUUUAGAUGAUGAAAUUUGACUACUAGAGUUUCCCUUGGACAUCAAAAUUGAAAUGAUAUGAAAUUGAAUUGUUAUGGAUGUAUAAAUUCAUGAUAGAUGCACAUGAUUGUUUCUGGCAGAUUGCAUGUCUUGAUUUAAAUUGAGUGAAUGAUACGUCUAAUGAUCACCAAACGACCUGAAUUUUUGAUAUGUUCAACAUAUAUAUGUCUACUAUGUGUCUGCAAAUUUUCGUAAAGUUUUGCCAUGUAGUGUAAUUAUGGUGAAUUUACUAGUAACCCAUACUCGUACAGACAGUUUUGCUGGCAGAUUGUUUUUGUCUUUCGAGACGUCACUUUAGACAAUUAGUUUGACCUAAAACGGCCCUAUAUUUUUAAUUUAUGAAGAUUAGUAUGUCUAUUUUGAUCUGUAAAAUUUUGGUAGCAAUUAAGCUUGUAAAUUAAUUAUGAUAAAUUCUAGAGUAAGUGUAACUCAUUGCUGAAAUUCUUUUUGAUAACUUUAUGUUGGUUGUGAUAUUAUGUCUAAAAUAUGAAGCAAAUUUGUUUAGGUAAAUCCUUGAAAGAAUAUAUGAAUAAGUGUUUGCCCAAGUGGGAGAAUUAGUGAAAGAAAAUUGGGCUUCACACUCAUUAACUUAUUUGCAAUAAGUGUAUAAACUCUAAAAGUUUAGUGGGAGUUGUUCUAAAGUUUUGAGCAUUAAGUGGACUUGCAUAAAGUUUUAUUCUAUCUUCCAGGAAUAUGUGUUUUGGUUGAUGAAAUUAGAAUUAUGCCAUGACUCGAAUGACAAUAAUAUGUUUAAGUUGCAGAAUGAGUACUUGGUGUAUGUGUAUAUUUUUACUUGCAAUCAUUUGGAUGCCUUAAUUGAUUAUUUGUUAAUCUUUAGAAAAGAAUUUUGAGGGUCGUGGGGACUUAGCACAAAUAUGGAAUUAUUAAUGCAAAUAGAUGGUUGUGAAAUGCAUGGUUUUGUAUAAACAACGGUGAAUCUCUUAGUUUUACCUUUCAUUAAGAUUAUGUUUUUUAAGGUGUUAAGGAAAGGUUAAAGAAAGACAAUUUUGUAGUGAUAUGCAUUCAUUGACUAAGUAAGGGUGUUCCCACAAGCAUAUUUCAAAAGUAUGUUUUAAGUAGUGUUUGCAAAUUAAGUGACGAUGUUGCAAAUCAGUGGGAGCUUGAGUUUCAUGUAAUUAAUGCCUUACAUUUGCAGAUGACCUAUAAGGUAUGUAUGGUUGAUUGAAUCCAUUUAUUCAGUUUAAUCUCCGGUUGGAUUCAUGUAGUCACAUGUUUAUGUGUUGGUCAAUUAUCAGAUGACGAUAUAUCUGAUAUCCAGUUAAGCAAAUUGCAUUUUAAGUCAUAAAGGAAUGGUUAGUCUACUUGCUCGUAAGUGUGGAUUAAUUCUUUUGGUUCGACUUAAAAUGGCAUGACAUGAUUUAUAUGUUGUAUUAGUUGUAAGAGUUUUUUCAUCUUGCUCAUAAGUGUUGAAAAUUUUUCUCACGAAAGUAACUAAUAUGGUAUAUGAACUAGUGUAAAAAACAUGUUAAUUCAUCUUGCUCGUAGGUGUUGAAUUAAUUGUGUUUUAUGAAGUUUUUGUUUGCAACUGCAGUAGAAGUUUGCAUUAAAGAGGACCUGAGAUGAUAAAAGUUGAGACACAUUCAGGUAAUUAAAGUUCAUCUUUGCAAUCAUAAUUUGACGGUGUUUCAUGUGGAUGAGGAUUUUAGCAUGUGUGAUUAUGAAGGUUUUUGGUUGUGUCAACCUUACAACCUUGUUAGUUCCAUGUUGAAAGACUUAUUUGACAGAAACUUGUAUCAAGGAUAGGAUGUUAUCACAACUACAUGGCCAUUAAAGUGACAUUAAUCUCCAAUUUCAAGUAUAAACAUAAAUAUUAUAUGUGUAGACCAGUGGGAGAAUGUUGGAUUUAUUCCGAUGUAAAUCAACCUUAAAUGGUCUACAACAUAUAAUAGGAAUGUAAUAUUGGAGAUUAAUGUAGAUAUUGUGAUUUAUUUCCUAAAGAUAUCAAUCUUAUAUUAGGUGUCUUGCAAUAUAAGUAAAAUUGAUGGAGUCCUUGAUUUUAUGUGAUUAUGAUACCUAAUUGAUAGGCUAAAAAGUGGGAUUUGGGAUUCCUUUAUGGAUGGAACCUUAAUGCCUUAGCCAGUAUAAAUACUAAGGUCCCUGCAAACCCUAGAGACACAACAAACACUUCCCAUAA
rnacentral:lncRNA from 1 species